UAGGAUUCCCUUAGUAGCUGCGAGCGAACAGGGAAAAGCCCAGCACUGAAUCCUGUUGUUUUUUGCAUACUAGGAAAUGUAGUGUUUGGGAGGAUCCAUUUUCUUUUAAAUAUAUAAUGAGUCCAAGUCCCUCUUGAACGGGGCCACAACCCAUAGAGGGUGCCAGGCCCGUAGUGACCAUUAUUGUUUAUAAGAGGAUCUCUCCUUAGAGUCGGGUUGCUUGAGAGUGCAGCCCUAAGUUGGUGGUAAACUCCAUCUAAGGCUAAAUAUAACCACGAGACCGAUAGCAAACAAGUACCGUGAGGGAAAGUUGAAAAGAACUUUGAAGAGAGAGUUCAAUAGUACGUGAAACCGUUUAGGGGUAAACCUGAGAAACCCAAAGUAUCGACCGAAGAGAUUCAAUACGUUUCAAUUUUAUUGGAUUAUUGUUGCUUGACAGUUGAUGUACGCAUCUCUGCAUCAAUAAUUUUCUUUAACAAUUUUGAACGUAUGCACUUCUCUUCUAGUAGAACGUCGUAAUCCGUUGAGUGUUGGUCUAAGGCUUAUGGUGUAGUCCAUUCAUAUUAUUUGAGUGAACCCAUAAUGUUUCCUGGCCAACUGCUUGACGGUAUAAAUAUUUUUGUCGCUUUUAAAGCGUUUAACAUGUUACAAGAACACUAUUUAUUAGUAAUUGGACUUGGUGCCUUUUCUUUUAAAUAGUGACUGCUGGUAGCAUAGUUCUUAAACAGACAUAAGCCAAUUUACGGCGCUUAAGAUUUGGGUAAUUUCAGGACCCGUCUUGAAACACGGACCAAGAAGUCUAGCAUGUACGCAAGUCAUUGGGAAAUAAUUAAACCUAAAGGCGUAGUGAAAGUAAAGGUUUGCCUCGUGCUUACCGAGGGAGGAUGAGUAUAACUAAGGUUAUUGCUCCGCACUCCCGGGGCGUUUCAUUCUCAUUGCGAGAAGAGGCGCACCUAGAGCGUACACGCUGGGACCCGAAAGAUGGUGAACUAUGCCUGGUCAGGACGAAGUCAGGGGAAACCCUGAUGGAGGUCCGUAGCAAUUCUGACGUGCAAAUCGAUUGUCGGAACUGGGUAUAGGGGCGAAAGACUAAUCGAACCAUCUAGUAGCUGGUUCCCUCCGAAGUUUCCCUCAGGAUAGCUGGCGCUUAUAGCGUAAGAGUUUCAUCUGGUAAAGCGAAUGAUUAGAGGCAUUGGGGUCGAAACGGCCUCAACCUAUUCUCAAACUUUAAAUAGGUGAGAACUCUGGCUUGCUUAAAUUUAUUUUGAAGCCAUGAG
rnacentral:rRNA from 1 species